rnacentral:lncRNA from 1 species
UGACGGUGGAAACACUAGAUGUUGACGCACUUCUUUGCUUCUCAUGAGCAAGGCCUGAUGAAGGAAAAAAAAUCCAUAAACUAUGGUUAAAAUAUUAAGGGCACGAUAUUAAACUGAUAAAUGUCUUGGAUGCUUUAGUACUUAGUAUUCAGGUUGAAUCACUCACUGAAUUCAAGUUGUGCAAAUUCAUCGGAUAGGCUGCGUGUUCAUUGGAUAGACUGGGCAUUGAUGAGUGUCACCAGGACUGUUUACCACAAUUUUCUACUAAAAUCAAGGACCGGUAAAGGGUGCAAUUGCCGGAUCAGUUUAAGGAAUAAUUUAUUUAAUUCUUUUAUUUCUCUGUAAGUCGACAGUAACCUAUUUUCUUGGAUUCAAAAAAGUAAUUAUUUCUUGGAAUAAGCAUGCAAUUUACAGACUACAAAAUUUGAAUCUUUCAUCCGCGUAUAUUCUCCUCUAGCAAGUGGGAAG